AAAAAGGGCUUCUGCUGUGAGUGGCACAGGAGGGGUGGGGAACACCACCCUUCUUGCGGAAUCGCAAUCAAGAGAUUUCGGAAGCAUAAUUUUUAACACAGGGGCUGCUGAUGAUCGUUCAUCUCGGCGCCCCG
rnacentral:snRNA from 1 species